ACAGGGAAAUAAAUGUUUCUACUUCAAUGCAUAUCUUGUUCAUAGAUUUGUGGUUUGAGGGAUUAUCCUAGGUGUCAUCCAACUCAUUGGCUUCCUUCCAACUUUUUCGGAUUCGCAAUUGACUCCGACUGAUCCCUUCGGUUUUACAGUAGGCAACAGAAAUCUAAAAUAAGAUUGAUCUCAUUCGUAUCAAAUGUACUGUUUCAUGUCCUGUUUCAUCUGCUGUUGAAGACUUCCAUCAUUGGUUCGACCCGUGGUUAAAUUCAUCAGACUUAUCCGUUUCACCGGUUCGUCAAGGCCCAUGAGAUUGGUCUCGAUAAUGUUGUGUCCUUUCCUCUGUUUCUACGGUUUUUGAAUUCGGCGGAACGGCUUUACAUCUGUAUAGUAAUAUGAGAAAAGAAGGUCAGGUUAUGCAAAGGACUACAAUGACGAGCAUCAAAACAGACUACAGAGGCAAAAGUACAAGAAAGCAAGACAUCGGCGAUCACAACUGACUCAAAAACACACCCUCUCAGCACUAUAACAACGCGUGUGAAUGUUGUCACCAAUUACAUUUUUCCAUCACAGUAUGCUUGGUACCUUGCCAUGGAGGCACCGUUUGACUUCACUGUUAAAGACAUGCCUGUCCUCAGAAAAUGGUGGUGCACAGUACUGCUUGAGAACUUCCACCUGGAUGGGCACGGCAGAAGGUUCCCACACUUCAUGGAGGAGGCCAAACAAAUGGCGGCUGGACUACUUCCACUAGUCUUCAGACUGAAGCGAAAAAGAGAAGUGAAUGACGUUUCCAGUGACAGAAUACAAAUAAUAUAUAUAAUAAUAUAUACAUACA